GCGAAUUUCGUGUAUUAUCGCGUAAGGUGUUUGGUUCUUAUCUUACACUUCGCUGAUGGACUUAUGGACAAGACGAGAAUGUACGCUCGUUCGUGUAUGUUUAUGUACUUUACUUGUUAAUUGUUCAUUUCUUGUGUGAAUGUUCUGUCACACGGGUUAUAAGGUGUUUCACUUGUGUCAUUUGUGGACUAUACGUCGUGGUCGUACUCGAGGCUUAUCUUUUGAGGGCCUCCUGUGAUCGACAUCGUGACUUCGGUAUUUAUAGCCGGCAGCGAGCUUGGAAAAGUCGCUUUACGGCUCAUGAUUAGAACAUUGUAAAGUUCUCUGAGCUAGACAACAAGCCCUGUGCGGUCCUCCCUUCUCGUAAACCGCAUAAGUAACUUCCUUCCACCAGCCGAACUCCUGUGUGGGCCACUCAACGCCCAUAUCCUUCACGCCGGGCACACUCAGUUGGUGAGGUAAAUCUUUGCCGCUGUUGAUUAAUUGCCUGGAGGGAACUCUGGCCCCUUGCGCAGGUUGCCAUUUGUUUAGUGUCACUACUUGCCCUUUUUGUCGUCAAGUCAGCACUUCAAGCUACCUGCAGGACUUCGCCAAGCCACCCUGCAUUCCAUAGCCGUAAAGCCUAAAUCAGGCUAGAAGACCAAGUAAGUUCGUUUUUGGGUUUACCUUAGGUGUUCUGUCGCCUAGGGGAUAUUCGGGUUGCUUUUCCCAGCACCCUUUUUGGUAGGUUAGGCAGGCUAGGUCACGCCAGCCGCAGCCGGUCAGCAGUGUUACGCACAGCUGCCCUACCAUUCAGCAAUUUCGGGCCAUUUUCUACUGGGUCGAUUUGCUUGUGUAUUCGGUCACUUUUACAAUCGAUACUGUGUUACGCACAGCCGUCUGUCGAACACUCGAUCCCGAAUACUUUAUACGAUCUACUCGUGUUACCAUCUAGGCUUGGUCAGCCCAGCCUAACAUUUUUCUUAUACUAUAUAUUCAGCUCACCUAAACAGCAGGUUCGAGCUCUUCUGUGCUUAACGAGCAUUUCGCGUACCUCUGGCCGAAUCCUACGGAGUCACACCAAUUCGUUUGCUUUUACUAGCCUCAAUCCGCUUCUGCAGUGGACCGUUACGACGAAGAUUACAGAAGGCCAUUCAGAGGACGCGCGGGUCGUAACCCUCUCGGUGUGCGCCACCGAGGUUAUCAUCAUCAAGGUGGUCGGGGCCAGCAGGGCCUUCGCAGGCGGUUUAAUCAGCCUAAUCAUCCACAUUUGGUCGAUCCGUUCGACCAGGAGCCGGAGCCUGUCGACAUAGGCCUGUUGGCGAGAGGCGUGCGUUUCGACUUAGAGCCUCGCCCAGCAAUUUUCCGCAUACGCUACCUAGUAGUAGUGCAGCUGGACCCCGAGCUCGAACAGCUACCGCGGCCUACGAGCUUUGUCACAGCCAGCUCCCAGGGAGCGAAUAUUCGACUGCCGUUAUUUGAAUACGCGGACCUGUGCGCGUCUCCACGCAACGAUAUGAUGGAAUAAUCACUGUAACCUCAUCGAGUUGAUUUUCUGUCUUUUUGCUGACGCGGUUUCCACAGAGCAGUCGUUCAAUCAUUACGCUGCACCACGUACUCAUCACUUUCCAGGAUUACUAUUAUUCCAGCUGUUUUUACGCAGCUACUCUUUGUUUUGCAGCUCAAUACAACGCAACUUUACAGCGACACCAGCUUAGGUGGGGCGGGUUUAGUACUCUUUAGUAGUCGCUAGGCUUUUUAUCGCUUAGUCCUUGCCUGUUCGCUUCGCGUCUGUUGCUGCAUCUUUCUCUUUUCCUUUUUCUCAUCUUGUUUUUCGUAAGCUAAUUAUUACACAGGGAAGCAUAAGUCCCACGGAGCCGCUACAUCGCAACAUCCCGCGGGCCGCCACUGCGCAACAUCUUCGCUCGACGAGUCAGCGAGAUCAGCAGGAGGUAAGCAAGGUUUCGCGUAAGGAUACGCGUAGGGUGUCCACCUCAGGGUCUAGUACUAGCGAAGCCGCCCGUAUUCCGCGCUCGCGUUCCGAUAGUGGCAUAGCAGUACAGGUGGAACUUCCCCUGACUAAGUUAGCUCAAACUGAGGGUGAGGUUGCUGCUCCACUAGAAACCCUCGGAACAGAUUCCGAUAGGGACAAGUGGUCGCGUCUCUUUGAAGCGCUAGGUAGGCCCCGCACCUACAUCAACCCUAUCUUUUCUAGGGACAGCGAUUCUGACGACGACAUCAUGCAGAACCUUUACCCUACCCUUGACCCGUUCCAGCACAACGGGUUGGAUGACUUCCUCACUAAGGUUUUCCAGCAAGGAGUUUCUUACCCUCUUUCUAGGAACAACUUGUCUGUUGAAAGCCUGAAGUCGUACCUUGAUGCACUGCCUGGUCGUAACACGCCAUUCGAGGCGUGGUACAACUCCCACAGACAAAACCUCAUAUCAAAAGCCGCAGCGCACUUCGGUGUAUCCGAACCAGGUGCGGCAGCCAACACCGUCUCUCCUCGUCAAUUGUUUGACUAUUACGCCCACAUCCUAGAGGAAAACUUUGCCUCCGCGCGUGCUGAGAGUGAUCUUGCGCGUUUCAAAAGCAUGCAGCAGGGAGCUCUCUCUCCCAUAGUCUUCAAGGACAUGUUGCUAGCGCUGGAGAAGAAGCUGGACGGUAGAGUCAGUAAACACCAAGUCGCCGAACGUUUCCUUGAGGGCUUAAACCCCGUGGUUCGGCAUCACCUGGAGAGGCACCUCAUCACCGUGGAGCGUACCAAGUGGUACGAUCGUUUGGAGAAGACGGCACAAGAGGCUGAGGUUGUGUGGAACAACCUUCCGUUGGAGGACAGAGCAGUGCAGGUACACAAAAAGCCGCCGCAGCAGAAGAGUGCAGCAAAACCCCCUAUUAAGGAAAAACGCACCUUCUACUGCGAGAAGCACGGCACUAAUGCAUCUCACGAUACGGCACAGUGCCGUGUCUUAAAUCCCCCAAAGUCGAAGUCCGCGCUUUUGACCUCUGACAUCCCCUCCGGAAUUGUUGAGCGUUUGGUUGCCUUGAUUUCCCAGGGACAGGGCAGCGCGUCGACCUCAGGGGGGUCCAGAGGAAUGGGCGGGCAAAAGCAGAAGGGGGCUGGGCCAUCUAAGCCCAAGCAGGGACAGGGUGUUAGCGAAUCGCGGGGGAAUAGGCCAUCUUGCGAGUUCUGCGGAACCAUGGGUCACCAGCAGAGCAAGUGCUUCAUUUUCCACCCCGAGCUCGCUCCCGCGGGCUACGAGCCUGCUAACCCAGCCCUGAAGGUUUUAUUUCUACAGCGCAAGAAGGCGGUUGAAAAGAAGGCUGCCUUGGCGGCGGCUGUUGCUGCAGCUUUCGAGGACGACUUCGCAGCAGAGGACGAUGGGGAUGAGGAGGCGGCCUGCUGCACGACGCAGUUCCAUGAAGCGGCGUCGAACGUCUCUCCCAGCCAACAGGCCAGGAUGGCGCCGCUCACAUGGUCGCGCAGCGCGCAAGAGGUAAGGUACAACAGCUUAGCCACUAUGCAUUCGCAGGCUGUUCCUAAGUCCUUUACUCCUGCCCCCUUAGUCACGAAGCAGUAUCCGCCACCGGCACCACCCGUGGCGAACAACUCAAAACGCACUCACACACCGCUAGAUGACAAUAUUCUCUUGCGUAAAAUCUCCGACAUGCCUGUCGGCACUUUCUUCAACCUGCUUUGUCAGCAGGGGCUGCCUUCCACCGGCGGCCCCUUAGACGUUAAACCCCAUCCCCCAAGCACGGCCCAAGCAACGCAGGGUUCAAGCUCAGUUUCGAGCAGCUUCGGGGAGGGAUUUUCCACGCUUCAGGCAGACAAGAGUGUGCAGCUCGCCUGUUUCCCGGCGGCAGCACCGGAGCUGGUCACGCCACCUCCCCUUGAUUCUGGCCUGGCGUCUUUUGCCCUGGCGGCCCAAGGGCGCGCCAAACCCUCCGACCACCGUGGUGCCGGUUUUGAGUACCAGGUAAGUGGGGUUAAGGGUCCACCUCCGCGCACUUUGUCGGAGCUCUCGCCUGACGAGCGGGAGCAGGCUUUAGCGGUUAAUCCGUCGGCAGCGCGUUACAUGGGGGAACCCGAGGGUCUGUAUUACUAUGNNNNNNNNNNNNNNNNNNNNNNNNNNNNNNNNNNNNNNNNNNNNNNNNNNUCGAAGCAGCAGUCUACUGGUUUCAGCCCAUACAGUNUGCUCCACGGAGUUCAGCCCACCAUACCAGCCGCGGUGAAGCAGCGCUUUGAGGAGGACAUCUCCUUCGAUUCGCUGGAGGAGGCUUCGGAAGCUCUUCUUAAGCGUGGCGAGGCUAUGCGUCGUAACAUGAGUAUUGCAGGGGAAAAUUUACUUAUCGCCCAGCAUAGGGAUACGUUACGCUAUGCCGCUUUGCGUGGUGGGGGUAACCAUCCUAGGUUGCGCAGGUUUGAUGUGGGGGAUUAUGUUUAUUAUCGUAAUACUAGUUCGUGCACGGCGUUAGACCAUAAGGUUCAACCUGCCGUACUUCGCGUUAGUGAGGUGCGUCCCAGCGGCGUACUUGUUCUGCAAGGUCAAGACGGUCAAACCAUGCAAACGCAUGUGAUGCACUGUGCACCUUGUCAUUUGCCUAUUUUAGACGAGGUUGUCGAUCCUCGCUUGUCCCGACCUCAUGCUAAUUUGUCCUGUGAGGUUUGCAAAAUGCCUGAUGGGGAAGAAUGGAUGCUUCUCUGUGAUAGCUGUGGGACGGGUUGGCAUACUUAUUGCCUUAAACCGCCUCUCAAACAAAUCCCUGACGGUACUUGGGUGUGUCCUAAUUGUCUUUCCAAAGGCAUCACCGUAGCACAAAUUAACUCUCGAUCUUUGGCUAACUCUGGUAGUAAUUCCAAUAAAUCCAGCACAAAGCCUGUUCCUCCGCAAUAUCUUGCCGAAUUACAAGGGUCACGGGUGUUUGGAUCUAAUUCCGGACCCUCUGGCAGUCGUGCCGUGAGAACCGGUGUCGCUACCUAUGCCGGUAAACGAGGCAGGAAGCAUUUCUUCGAGGUGCUUUAUCAGGACGGCGAAUUGGAGCUGGUGGAUGCUGUGCAGCUGCGCAAUAUGCUUGCACCUAAGUCUGCCCGCCCAAGGCGAGCGGUGGGAGCAGCGGCGGUUGCAGCAGCCACAUCGAAACUGGAGCACUGGAGUUUGGAUUCAGCCGCGGACGUUCCGAUGGCGCUGGAUCUGGCUAUGUCGGGAGACCACUCAGUAUUCAAGAUAGCUUUGGUCACCAAUCAGUUAUUCGAGCAACGUCUUCAACUUCCGUCCGUACCGCAGCCGCAUGUCGACGUGUUGCGAGGAGCGUUGCGUUGGAGCUUGGUUAAUAACGUAAUUCUGCCUUACGAGGUUUCAAAUCCUUUGCGUGUCGCUUUGUUGUCUUCUGGCGCUCGCGUCUUAAAAGGGAAGCCGGUAAAAUUUAGUGAUCCCUUGUCGCCUCAGUUUUACGACGGCGUAGAUAAGCAGUUUACAUCUGUAGAUGCAGCAGUGUUGUCAAUCACUGGCGCGUUGUUAGAUUUGGCAAUUCCAGCAGCGAUUAAGUCUGUUAAGGGCUUCGUGGUCGCCAGAGUUCUGGUUGAUCACAUAUCGGGUGCUGAUGAAGCGCGCAUGAAGUGGUUGUGUAGGCUGCAGGAACAGGAUCGUUUAUUGAUGUUGAGUUGUCCUUCUGUUGAGUCUGAGCACCAGGUUUUUGUCUGGCUGAUUGUGUUCACGAAUCCAGCUAUCAAGCGUGUGAUUUUGAAGGAUAGCAGCUUAGCUGAGCACUUGCUUUGAGGGUGCGUACAUGGAGCUUUCCACGGGCAUUCACCAUCUCGGCUUCGCCCGCUGGGGGGGGGAGUCUGCCGUACGCACGUGUUUUGUUCGGUGCUACAGUCAUGUGACGCGACAGCUGUCACGACAUUUUGGCGUCACGUUCAUUUUACCGUCUUUUAUAAUCGUCUUAGGUUAUAAUCGGUGUGAGUACGCGAAUUUCGUGUAUUAUCGCGUAAGGUGUUUGGUUCUUAUCUUACACUUCGCUGAUGGACUUAUGGACGAGACGAGAAUGUACGCUCGUUCGCGUAUGUUUAUGUACUUUACUUGUUAAUUGUUCAUUUCUUGUGUGAAUGUUCUGUCACACGGGUUAUAAGGUGUUUCACUUGUGUCAUUUGUGGACUAUACGUCGUGGUCGUACUCGAGGCUUAUCUUUUGAGGGCCUCCUGUGAUCGACAUCGUGACUUCGGUAUUUAUAGCCGGCAGCGAGCUUGGAAAAGUCGC
rnacentral:lncRNA from 1 species